rnacentral:rRNA from 1 species
GAUGAACGCUAGCGGCAGGCCUAAUACAUGAAAGUCGGACGGGAUUGAGGAGCUUGCUUCUCAUGAGAAGGGCGCACGGGUGCGUAACACGUAUGUAGACUACCUUAGUCAGGGGGAUAGCCUCUCGAAAGAGAGAUUAACACCGCAUAACAUUAUGAUAUGGCAUCAUAUUAUAAUCAAAUAUUUAUAGGACUAAGAUGGGCAUGCGGAACAUUAGCUAGUUGGUAAGGUAACGGCUUACCAAGGCUACGAUGUUUAGGGGAUCUGAGAGGAUGACCCCCCACACUGGUACUGAGACACGGACCAGACUCCUACGGGAGGCAGCAGUAAGGAAUAUUGGUCAAUGGACGCAAGUCUGAACCAGCCAUGCCGCGUGCAGGAAGACGGCCCUACGGGUUGUAAACUGCUUUUGUACCGGAAUAAACCUUUGUAUGUAUACGAAGCUGAAUGUACGGUAAGAAUAAGGAUCGGCUAACUCCGUGCCAGCAGCCGCCGUAA